ACUCCUACGGGAGGCAGCAGUAGGGAAUCUUCCACAAUGGGCGCAAGCCUGAUGGAGCAACACUGCGUGAGUGAAGAAGGGUUUCGGCUCGUAAAGCUCUGUUGUUAAAGAAGAACACGUAUGAGAGUAACUGUUCAUACGUUGACGGUAUUUAACCAGAAAGUCACGGCUAACUACGUGCCAGCAGCCGCGGUAAUACGUAGGUGGCAAGCGUUAUCCGGAUUUAUUGGGCGUAAAGAGAGUGCAGGCGGUUUUCUAAGUCUGAUGUGAAAGCCUUCGGCUUAACCGGAGAAGUGCAUCGGAAACUGGAUAACUUGAGUGCAGAAGAGGGUAGUGGAACUCCAUGUGUAGCGGUGGAAUGCGUAGAUAUAUGGAAGAACACCAGUGGCGAAGGCGGCUACCUGGUCUGCAACUGACGCUGAGACUCGAAAGCAUGGGUAGCGAACAGGAUUAGAUACCCUGGUAGGAUAGCG
rnacentral:rRNA from 1 species